UACAGAGGUCUCAAGCGUUGUUCGGAUUCAUUGGGCGUAAAGCGUGCGCAGGCGGUUUGCUAAGUCAGACGUGAAAUCCCCCGGCUUAACCUGGGAACUGCGUCUGAUACUGGAGGGCUUGAGUAUGGGAGAGGGAUGUAGAAUUCCAGGUGUAGCGGUGAAAUGCGUAGAUAUCUGGAGGAAUACCGGUGGCGAAGGCGGCAUCCUGGACCGGCAUUGACGCUGAUGAGCGAAAGCUAGGGGAGCAAACGGGG
rnacentral:rRNA from 1 species